CUCGUAGGCGGUUCGUCGCGUCCGGUGUGAAAGUCCAUCGCUUAACGGUGGAUCCGCGCCGGGUACGGGCGGGCUGGAGUGCGGUAGGGGAGACUGGAAUUCCCGGUGUAACGGUGGAAUGUGUAGAUAUCGGGAAGAACACCAAUGGCGAAGGCAGGUCUCUGGGCCGUUACUGACGCUGAGGAGCGAAAGCGUGGGGAGCGAACA
rnacentral:rRNA from 1 species